AUACAUAGCACAUUUUUCCCUGCAUGGAUCGAUACGAAACUCGUAUGUAUCAAUACAUAGAACAUUUUGGCCAUGCACACUUGAUGAUGAUUUGCUCAUAACUCCUCAACCAUUCAUCAGAUGCUCGUGAUCUUGGACUUUUUGGAAAUGGGAGAGAAAUAUCUACAACUUUCAUGUUCAACAAAAUUUCAUUUGAAGCUUUUUUGAUGAUAUAAGAUUGAGUUGAAGUUGGUCCAAAACCCUUCCAUUUUUGAAAAAUAUUAGGUCACUUUCCAUUUUGGGAAAUUUUUGACUUGACUUCAAAUUCUUCAAUGUGAGUGUUUGAAAUGUC
rnacentral:lncRNA from 1 species